rnacentral:rRNA from 1 species
UACACUCCUGCGGGAGGCAGCAGUGGGGAAUAUUGCACAAUGGGCGCAAGCCUGAUGCAGCCAUGCCGCGUGUAUGAAGAAGGCCUUCGGGUUGUAAAGUACUUUCAGCGGGGAGGAAGGCGAUAAGGUUAAUAACCUUGUUGAUUGACGUUACCCGCAGAAGAAGCACCGGCUAACUCCGUGCCAGCAGCCGCGGUAAUACGGAGGGUGCAAGCGUUAAUCGGAAUUACUGGGCGUAAAGCGCACGCAGGCGGUCUGUCAAGUCGGAUGUGAAAUCCCCGGGCUCAACCUGGGAACUGCAUUCGAAACUGGCAGGCUAGAGUCUUGUAGAGGGGGGUAGAAUUCCAGGUGUAGCGGUGAAAUGCGUAGAGAUCUGGAGGAAUACCGGUGGCGAAGGCGGCCCCCUGGACAAAGACUGACGCUCAGGUGCGAAAGCGUGGGGAGCAAACAGGAUUAGAUACCCGUGUAGUCCCAUG